UUGUCCAGCAGACCCUCAAGACUGUCCGCUCGUCACCGGUCCUCACCGUCCUCACCACUGUCCUGGGCAUAGACACCACACCUCCUCCCUGGCAUCUGCAGGCGCUUCCUCGCGGCUUCCUGCACACGAUCUGCUCUCUCCCUGUGCUGCCGGUAGAGGGAGCUUUAAACCCUGUUCCUUGAUGGUGCCACACUCCCCCGACCUCAGGGGUCUACUGCACAGCUCCCACCGCCCAGGCCUUCUCCCCUCUCUUUGCCUCGCUGAUUCCUACAAGACUUCCGAGCCGGGGUCCAGAUAGGACCAGGAGACCCUUCCAACCACGACCACCCCAUGUCCCCCGAGCACCUCAGGAUCCGGGCACUUUGCACCAAUGCUCGCCGUGUAGCUCCUGCCUGCUGACUUCGGCGAUCCAGUGUUCCACCCCAUGGCGGCGCGGUCUCCAUGGGUGCAGACUGUGCUAAGGACUGCGCUGUGCCCCCCGGACGUAGCUCCUGACUUCCUUGACUGGGGGCCAGACCACACCAGGCACAAGCUCGGGAGGCCUGCGCACCUGCUCGGGCAGGGCUGUCUGGCCCUGAUUCCUCGUGACGUUGGUGCCAGCACAGAUGUGAGCGGACACAGUGGGGUGGGAGGAGGGGGCCUGGGCGCCGAGCUGUGUGUCGGGUCACCCUGAGAGAUGGGCGCCCUUCUGCCCCUCCUGGCUGGGAGCAGUGCUCACCCCUUCCCUGUGGGUGUGAGCCCCAGCCGGCAGCUGGCCUGACGGUUUGUCCUGACCACGCUGGUUGGGAGACUGUCCGAGCGGGCUGCUCGCCUCCACCUCGCUGGCACGUGCAGGCGAAGC